rnacentral:lncRNA from 1 species
AAGUAAUUCAUGUGAAAUAUUAGGUUAGCCAUAUAGAGAAAGAUUAAUGAAAUCUAUUUGUAGUGACAAAAAAUACAGCAUUCAGAAAAAUUGUAAGAACUUUGUCAAGCUUGAUUGUUUUGGAAGUAAAAAGUAAUCAUAGACAUUACAUCGUCACAUCUUUCUAAACACACCAUUCUUCUCUAAGAAAUAGAAGUCCCUAGAAUGAUUAAAAAAAUGAUGAACAUUGGUUAACAAAUACUCACCGAAUAUGCGAAAAUGGAGCCAACAUUGUUGAAAGCGCUGGAAGGUAUAGGCUGACCGCACCUUGCCAUAGCCUAAGAAACGAGCAUGCCAAGCAAUGCAAUUUAGAAUAAAUAGAUAAUUGCAAGCAUUUUUAAGAUUUAAGAAGAAGGAUUCCAUAAUACCAUAAGCUUCUGUUUGCUCUGCGAUGAGGACAUAUUAAUUUUUAUUUCUAGUUGAACUUUAUUUUGUUUGUAGACUUUAUUUUUAUUUUGGAUUCUUAUUUAUGUAAUUGGACUUUCUUGCUAUUUUCUCAUUCUUCAUUUAAUAUUUCUAUCGAUGUUUUUAUCAUAAUAACAAAAAAAAAAUCUUGUAGCGUUGGUUUAGGAAGCACUCAAUGAGAAUAUCAGGGAGUAAAACACCUCUAAACAUAAAAGCCAAACUGGUAGAUAAAUCUUUGGAAGUGCUAUCAGCCAAGUACUUAAAACUUGAUCUUUGAUAAUAAAAAAUAACUAUUUCACCCACAAAUUCUUGAUGUUAUCACAAAUUAGCAAGCGCGCUCAAUUCACAUACGAAGAAAAAUAGAUUGCUUCUCCAAGUAACAAGAGGCAGUUAAAAGAUUCCACGUUAUGAUUUUUCUUCGCACUUGUUGAUAUGAUAUAAUGCUAAAAAUGCAAAGCAAAAUUAUGAUACUUUUAGUUUGAGUAUAAACAUAACUAGGUGAUUUAUUUAGAUAGUGCUUCAAAAAAACCAAAUUUCCUCACGAAGAACUCUAAGUCAUUCCAUGACUCCUCCAAGUUUCUCUUCCCAUGUAACUAAGCUCUACAUCAAAUUUAAUGAGGAGCUGAAAAACAUUUAAUCGCUGUCUGCGGAGCAUUGUAAAACUUAGAUAUAUUCAAUGUAUGUUCACUGAAAUAAACCCAAGAAGAUAGAAGAAAAAUCCAGAAUCAGGCAUGCUAGAAAGUUUUAAGAUGCGAACAAUUUCCCUCCCACCACAUCACAUACAAACACCCAAAAGAAUGAAAACGAAAGAAAGAGGAAGGAAAAACUAAAUGGGAGGAUGGGAGCAAAGAGGAAUGACAAUAUAGCAAGCUCCAUUGACAUCAUUUAAGAUGAAAUAAAAGCACCUUCUAACAUGAUGCAAAAUACAUAUACUACUAAUUUUAUCAAGUAGUAAGUGUUCAUGCUAUUAUAGAGAUCUCCUUUGAUACAAAGUCAGGUUGACGAUGAAGUACCAUUUAAACACCCAAUACUACAAAUACAUAAUUAACUUCGAAAGGUCUAGAGAAUGCAUACCAAGACUUAGACACAAGAAAAGAUGGUACAUCAAAUUAUAUUUGUCCCUCUUGAUGAAGCAUUGAAUGGUUCCAUCACGAGGCCCCGACUACGAAGAAAAAUAAGCAUGAUUCAGUAUUUGAUUUCAAAGAACCAAUCAGCAAAUGCAUAUAAUUGUUAAAUACAGGUAACUAUACAACAUUAAAAUACGCAAAAAUGUUAUUAUCUUGCACAAUACCAAAGCAGGACAAGUGGUGCAAAGUCACCUGCUUUAAAGAAACUGGAAAAGUAAGUUUCCCACAGAUUUCUGGACCCUUGACAAUUUCCUUGCACAUGCUCCUCCAUGACCUGCAAACAGCUGCACAAGCUACCACAUGCUUCCUAGCAGGCCAUGCACUCUCACUCUCUUCUAACCUUUUAAUCACAUCAUAAAGUAGCUCCGGUGGUAGAUUAGCCCAACGACUAUUCUGAAUUACCAAAGUUUGGUUAUUUAUAUCAUGAAAUGAACCAUGAGAUUUUACCCUAUGAUGUCCAGGCAGCCUUACAUCAAAACUAUGCCGGGAUAAGCUACUAAAACUAUCUCGUUUAUCCCGAGCUAUGCAGCGGAAUGACAUCUAACAUCAAACUGGUAAACCGGAACCAAGAUGCCUAAACUAAUAUCAGGCACUUCUCUGAACCUUAGUAGUAUUUCAAAAGUCGUUUCCCAAUAGAUGAAAUCCCCGCUUACAUCAAUUUUUGUCUACAAAUGAGCAAAAGUAAAUAGUUUUCAGAGACAAAAAUGUAUAACCAAAAAGAAAAGAAAAAAGGGGUGCGUAAAGAAAGGCAUUUAUAGAUAGGCAAAAAAAAAAAGAGAAGGGAAAAUUAGAAAAGGACAACUUCAUAUGGACAUUAAAGUAGAUUCAAUCACAUAACUUUUGUUGGACACAACUUAUCUUUAAGUUCUCAAAGUGAAAUUAGUUUUCAUAUUUUCACUUGCCCCAAUCAAAGUCAACUUCAUGCAGAAUUAUAUCCAAACAUUAAUUAAAUUACUCCGGUCUCCAUGGAAACAUAUCAAUCCAUGUAUUAAUAUAUAGACUCAAAGGAAUUCGUUAGCGGUUGGCCACAUAACAACAAUAUUGAUUUGCAAGUUUGGUGCUAAGGACCUAAAAAUAUAAAGCUAAAUCAUAGAGAUAAGGUAAUAAUCUUUGGAGCUUAAGAUGUGACUCUGAAACUUAUAUAUUGGACCGAAAAAGAAAUUCAGGAAAUAAAAAAAUAAAAAAUCAUUUUGAUAAAAAAAAAAGAAAGAAAAAAGAAAAAGAAAAAGAAAAAAACCUUCAAAUGGUAUCAACAAGAAAAUAAGUAGCUAACCUGCUAAAAGGGCUGUAAGCAAAUCCAAGCUUCAUAGCUUCUUCAGAGAUCUGCAAGAACCAUAUAAAUUAUAUAAUUUUUUUUUUCUGAAUUAAAAGCCCCGACAUCCAAAAGGCUCAAAUUUCACCAAACAUUACCCUUUCGACAAAUCAUCAAAAUUAACAAAAGACCGCUCUUUAGCACUCUCAAAAUAAAACUAAACUAUCACAAAGAUAGAAAAAUAAAUAUAUAGAUAAAUGAGGAAGACCCAGAAAACCCAAACUCAAAUGAAUCCGCACAAUGUUCAACUCUUUGAAAACCAGUAGUGUUAUUAAAAUUAAAAAAGAUAAUCAAAUGUGAACAAAAUUAUGAAACAUUUAAGUAUCUAUAUAACCAAAAAUUCAAAGGAUCAGAAAAGCAGAUCAAGAUAUAUACCUCAGGAAUUCAAAUUCUUGAAAACCCACAUCUAGAUUUAUGUAUAUAUGUGUGUGUAUAUUCCAACCCAAAAAUUCAGUCAACUUUCACAGACCCAGCAAUCGAGAGAGACUCAUCCGUACUAUAUAAGCUGGGAUUUAAAUCUGAUUCAAGGAAGAGCUAGAGAGAAGAAGAAAGCAAAAGCGUGUGUUUAGCCCCCUCCCCCCCACCCACCCCCAAUUCUUUCCAAUUUUACAAAGAGGAAAUUUUACAAAAUAUCCAUUUUUACUUAGUCAUUUGUAAAAAUGUCCACCGUUAUAAAAAUGUCUAAUUUGAAAGAAUUUAGAUCAAAAUAUCCUUAUUAACAAUUUAUAAUUCCACACUAAGACAAAAAAAUGGACAUUUUUACAAUAUUGUUAUUGGUCAAUAAAAUUUUGACACAUAACCUGUCAUAUUUAUUUCAAAAAGUAUUCAUGUCAAAUCACAAUAAAUGUCAUAUUUUUCAUUGAUUCAGAAAUGUCAAGAACGAUAUUUUUAAAUGUAGAAAAAUGUUUUGUUCAAAAUGAAAUAUCAUUCUAGAUAAAUGAAACGAUGUUCAAAUGUCGAGAAUGACAAAUGAAAUGUCAAAAAACAUUUUUUUAAUGUAGCUUCUCAUGAAAUUCACCUCUCAAAAUUCGUGACAAAUUGAUAAAAAAAAUCAAAUGUCGAGAACGACAUUUAAAGUGUCGAGAAUAUCAAUUCAAAACGUAACUUUUCAUCAAGGGCAUAAGAGACAAGUUGGCACUAAAUUCAAAUGAGUGGACAUUUUUCAACUCAUACCUUUAAAAUUGAAUAUUUUUUAAAAUGUCCUUUUUUAAAUCUCUUUUUCAUCAUUUGUGGUCCUCACGUUUGAAAUUGUGGCAGCAUUCUGACUUGGACAGCUACCUUUUUUUUUUUCAAUUACUGUCAAGUGGACAGCCCCAUGCUUGCUUCACUCAAUUACUGUCAAGUGGAUAUCAAGGAGACAAAAAAAAAAAAAAACAAUUGUAGCAUAUUUGUGAAAUCGUAAUUAAAGAGUUGAACAUUCUCCAGAUUAAAAUAAUCUAUUUAGAAAAAUAGCUCUACAUUACUUAUGUAUAGACUAAUUGAUAGCCAUUCUGCGGGCCAUUUUUGUACUUCUAAAGUGCGUAAAAUUUAUUGUAAUUUGAUUGAUGUACAUAAUUUUUGUACAUUAAGGUGUUCAUGCCUCUCACAUGAAGUGUGAACCACAAAAUACACUUUGUGGGUCCCACUUUAUGUGAGAAGCAUGGACACCCUUAUGGACAAAAAUUAUGUACAUCUAGAAUUUUUCAAAUUUAUUUCCUACUAGUUUUUACAUGAAUAUAUUAUGUUAGAUUUUAUAAUGAUCAGGAGACCAACCUAAUUUUGCUUUCUCAGUUUGUAACAUAAUAUCAGCUACCUUUUGUAGCCAAACAAAUAAUUUUUUGUUAAAAAAAGAAGUCAUGCGUGUCUAUGGAAGCACCUUCUAACAUGACGCAAAAUACAUUUACUAGUAAUUUAUCAAAUAGUAAGUGUUCAUGCUAUUAUAGAUAUCCUUUGAUACAAAAAGUCAGGUUGACAACGAAGUACCAUUUAAACACCCAAUACUACAAAUACAUAAUUAACUUCGAAAGCCCUCGGGGCAUAUCCCAGUGGUGCAAAGGAUAAGGAUGAGGUAUACUCAGCCUUACUGAUAGCCGCAGUGUGAGGAUUUGAUUCUUGAAAUAUGGAUUGUAACUCUUUGUGGGUAGCUCUUAUUCCCUGGCCUGCUGGAGCACAUCCCACGAUUAACCUCUCUCACGAUACUCCAGCGAUGGAGCGGUGGGGGAUUCUAAAGGUUGGGGUUCAACCUUUUUUCAUAAUUAACUUCGGAAGGUCUAGAGAAUGCAUACCAGGACUCAGACACAACAAAAGAUGUUACGUUAAAUUAUACUUGUCCCUCCUGAUGGAGCAUUGAAUGGUUCCAUCACGAGGCCCUGACUACGAAGGAAAAUAAGCAUGAUUCAGUAUUUGCUUUCAUAGAACCAAUCAGCAAAUGUAUAUAAGGGCAUGUUUGAUAGCCCUUUAUUUUCUAGGGAAAAUGGAAAAAGAAUUCCAACUUCCACUUUUCGCCUGUUUGAUUGACCAAAAUUUUCAAGGAAUUUGUUUUCCACCUUUGGCCGCCAUGUCAACAUUUUCCCAUCUUUUUCUUGAAUUAGAAUUCUCACGUCAGCAUUUUCCAUAUUGGUGAGAAUUCGUUUUCCGGGCACUGUAGAGAUUUUCUUUUCGAAUUUUUAUUUUUUUACAAAGGAAACAAAUUUUAAGAAUUAUUGUGAAAAAAAUAUUUCCCUUUAAUUGGAAUUUUCCAUAUAAAAUAAAGUCAAACGAACACCAAAAGAUAGAUGAUUUUCUUGAAUUUUUUUUGUUGGCAAUGGAAACAAAUUUCAUUCCUAAUACCAAUAAAAUCCAUCCUUUUAAUUGACAAUUUUCAUGUAAAACAAAGCCAAAUGAGCACUAAAAACACUUUUAUUUCAACAUUUUCCACGUGAAAAAUUAUAACAAUCAAAUAAAAUAAUUUACCAUUUCCAAGAAAAAAUUUCUAGGCAAUUCAAUUUCCUGAAAAUCGUUUUCAAUUUCAUUUUUGCAAUCAAACGGACCCUAAUUGUUAAACACAGGUAACUAAACAACAUUAAAAUACGCAAAGAUGUUAUUAAGCGCAUGUUUGGUAGAGAUUUUAAUCUAAUUAAAAUCAAUUUUUUUAUCGUUAUUUCACUAUUUGAAUUAUCAUUUUUAAUUCUUCUUUUACAUAUUGGUCCCAUUUUAUUUUUAACGAUCAAAAAAUCAAUUAUCAAAAUUCCUACUAAACAAGCGCUAAGUAUCUCGCACAUUUCCAAAGCCUUUAAAGAAACUGGAAAAGUAUGUUUCCCAUAGAUUUCUGGACCCACGACAUUUUCCUUGCACAUGCUCCUCCAUGACCUGCAACAAGCUGCCACAUGCUUCCUAGCAGGCCAUGUGCUCUCACUCUCUUCUAUUUUUUUUUUAUUUUUUUUUGAUAUCUAGGUAUCCCAGCUUACAUCAGACUAAAUCUUGAACCCCCCAAGACCCUUGCCUCUAGAACCUCGAAGGGCGUAAAUCGCGGGUUAUGCCUCAACUGGAUCACAGGUUCCCCCCAUUGCCCGUACACUUCUGCGCACAAGAGACCCUUCUCCACAGUGAUUGCUCCAUACCAAAUAUUUGGCCGCAGGUUCACACCUGGAAUCGAGCUCUCCACCCUGCCGCUGGAAGCAAGAAAAUGUUGAUUGAUCCACCAGUUGAGCUGUGCCCCGGGGAGCGCUCUCACUCUCUUCUAACCUUUUAAUCACAUCGUAAAGUACUUAGUUUUCAUAUUUUCACUUGCCCCCAAUCAAAGUCAACUUUAUGCAGAAUUAUAUCCAAACAUUAAUUAAAUGAGUCUGGUCUCCAUGGAAAUAUAUCAACCCAUGUAUUAAUAUAUAGAUUCAAAAUGGAAAGUAAAUCUUGUAAAGUAAUUUUUAUUUCCUUAUUUGGAAAGAAUAUUUCAGAGCUGAAAAGUGAAAAGUAUAAACACCAUGCUGGAAUAGAUAAGCUAAAUUAUAUUAGGUUCUAGACUUGCCCAAAGUAAAUUAUUCUAUUUUUCAAUUUAAAUCUGCACGCGAGAAAGGCAACAUGUCCACUUAAGAACGAAAAUUCUAAAUUAAUUAAAUAUCAGAGAAUAAAGCAUUUACAUAAAUAUGCAAUCGAUAUUUACAUAUUCUUACAUGUUAGUGAAAAGAAAAUUUGUAUUUCUCAUUUUAGGUUUCACCUUAUAUUAUUUUUAAAUUACGUUAUAAUUAAAUUCUUUUUUCUUUUCUUUCUUCUUAAUUAGCUUCCUCGAUUAACUCUGCUACCAACUUUAUUGGAUUUUGUAGUUCUAUGACAAUAAGUAUAAGGGUCCAUUUGAUUGCAAAGAUGAAAUUUGGAUGAAAAACGAAUUAUAGGGAAUUGAAUUGUCUAGAAAUUGUUUUUGGGGAUGAAAUUUGUUUCAAUUGCCAAAAGAUAAAAAAAAUGAAAAAAAUAAAAUUCAAGAAAAUCAUCUAUCUUUUGAUUUCUCUUGAAAGUAGAGUACUACGAAAGAAAGUUGAUUAUGCAUUACUAAUAAGCCAAAAGUAUUUCUAGUUUGCAUGGUCUAUAAUCGAUUAAUCAUAUAUUCUAACAAAAAAAAUUCACAUUUCAUAAAAUCAUUUCUCAAAAGUCAACUUCACACACGAGUGCUUAUUGUAAUAUUUUCUUGGUGAAAUUCCAAUCUGAAUGGUCUUAAUUUCUCUUUUAAACUUGUGGGUGGAAUAUAGAUUUAAUUAGGCGGUAUUGAAAAUUCAUCAAAUAGAAGUUCAUGAGGCAAUGCAAAGCCAAUCAAUUCUCUUAAAAAAAGGAGAACAUCUUGUUGGGAAGCAUCACAGUUUUUGUGUCGUUUUAGUUUAUUUAAAGUUGAAUGUAUUCUGCUUUAUAUUAAUUUUUAUUUUGUAGACAAUUAGCCCUUGUUUGAGUCACAUUAUAUUCCUAAUAAUGCAUUUUUGAAUAGUGUAUUGAUGAAAAAUGUGUAACUAAAAACUAAAGAAAAGUUUUGAAUUUGCGUGUAAUAUUAUUUUAUUGAAAAAUAUGUUAUUGAAAUUAUGUCAAAUCAUUGUUUAAAAAUAUAUUUUUUUUGAAAAAAUGUGACUCAAACAUAACCUUAAUAUAAAAAAGUAUGUCUUGUUUUUAUUUCAACAAAGUGUUUCUAUAUUUUACAAUUAUCACCACUCUAUUUCCCAACCUUGUAGCUCUUCUCAACUUUUCUCAAUUUCCUUUAGAAGCUCCUUCAAGACUUUUAGCCAAACCUUCAUACUUUCCUCUGAAAAUCUUCAUUAUUAUGAUCAUGUAAUAUAAUCUUUGUCGUUUAGAUAGGUAAGAUUAGUACAUAAAUCAUACGUAGCAGUCCAGUAACCAGAUUGUUGUUUUCCUUUUCUUGUGCUCUUGUUCAAUCGUAUGUUAUUUGAAGAACUUAUGCACAUGGUUGGUGCCAUAGAUAUUUUAGGUUUGUUGUUUUUGUCAGUAGUAAGGUGAAUAAUAUCAACUGGAAUGAAUUUUGUCUAUGGUUUGGUUUGGUUUCCACUUUUGGUUUUGUAUUGGUGGCUGAUGCCAAAUUUUUAUUUCAGGCUUGUGAAUUGUGACGGUAGAAUUAUCAACGGCGUGAUUCCUUCAUUUUUGUCGAAAUUCUACUUCUCUAAUAAGUAAUGGCUUGCUCUAACUUGUUAUUAAAUAUAUUGACAAUGUUUAAAGCCUCGUCUGCUUAUAUAAUUGUGGCCCGGUUGGCUUAUAUGAUUGGUUAUUAUAGGAUCAAUUGCACAGGCCCACAUAGUAACUAUAUUGAAAACUUUAAUUGUGAAAUGAUUGAGAUAUUUUGUGAAAAGAAGUUUCUCCAACUGAAGUUGAUCAAAAUUUACCUCUGAUCAACUAUGUCACAAGAAAGAUUGAACAGAUUAGCUAUGUUAUCAAUAGAAAAAGAAAUGGUUGAAUAAAGAAAUUAUUUAGAUUUGAUUAAUGUUUUUGCCUCAAAAAUAGCAAGGCAAAUAGUAUUUAAAUGAUUAUUUGAAACGUUGUUAGUUUUGUUAUUUUAUAAUAAAAAUCUUUUGUAUAAUAUAUUUAUUUGUUGUCUUACUAUUAAGCUUUAAGUUAGCGAUAUGUUGCAUAAUACACAAUAGGUUUUGUUGGAUUUUGCAUUUAAGUUGAUUUUGGGGGGGCCUAAUUUUUGGAGUUCACCUUAGGCCUCAAAAAUCACAGGACCGGCUCUGCCUAGAGUAGUUAGCAUUUUUGGUGUAUAAUGUAUAAUAAUUUACAUAUUGCUUUGGUAUGGUACUUGGUAUUGAAUAGUGAUGUUCACUUCAAGAAAAAUCUGAAUUUUGUCAAGAAGAUAAAAAGUUUCUCAUGGCACGAGAAGAGAUGUUGUUAAUCAUAUAGACACGCGUGACAAUUUUUUAGGAAGGAGCUAAUUUUUGAAGAAAUUAUGAAACGUUUUGCACAACUCAUAAGAGGGGGCAAAGUUUCACAACAAUCUAUUUAUGUCUCAUGAGAGGGAAAGUGACUGGGUUGCCUUUGAUUCACUAUGUCUAAGAAUAUAGGUUAUAACUAUUUUUGUAAGAUGUAGAGAUAUUAAUCCAAUCAGAGAGUAGAUGGUAGAUGCAUUCCUUGUUUGUUUCAUGCUCAUUUAUAUGCAUUGAAAGGAUGGGAGUCAUCAGGAGUAGUCUAAGAGGCAAGCAAGCCUGUUGAAACUUUCAAUUCAGCAACAACCUCCACAAAAUCAGAGGCCAAUGGCAAUGAGAAAGAUUUGCACAUACCUUUGUCUUUGAUAUUGAUUGUAAAUUUGACUUUUCCCCCUUCCUCUUUUCUUUUUGGAAAAGAAACAGUUUGAAUCAUGUCAGAUGAAGUUGAGAGCUUGUUUGGUGUAGAUUUUAAGUCAAUUAAAAUCAAUUUUUUGACCGUUAUUUCACUAUUCAGAUGUUAUUUUUAAAUUUUUCUCUCACAGAUAGGACCCACUUUAUCUCUAACAAUAAAAAAAUCAAUUAUCAAAAUCCCUACCAAACAAGCACUGAAUAUCGUUGUUUCAUUGGUGGCCUCUCAUGGUCAACCUCAAAUUAAGAUCUAAAAAAAGCAUUUGACAAGUUUGGCCAUAUUCUCGAUGCGAAGGUAAUCAUUUGAUUUGAUUUUGAAAUCGUAUACUUGGUUCACUGUUAUGUUCUUAUGAUUUUUUCAUAAGCUUCUUUCAUCUUAUAAUAGAUGGUUGGUUUCAUAGGGCCCAUGUUCAUCAUGUUGAAAGUUUAAUCUGGUUUACGAAAGAUACCUUCACUUUGAAACCUUUUGAGACUUUGUCAUAGGCUUUUAUCUCUUUUGUUACUAUUACAGAAAUGUUACUAUAUCCAUUCACGUUAAUAUCCAUUUGGUAUUGUUAUUUCUAGUGAUGAAAGUACGAAUAUGUUCCAGACCAUACUUUGAUAAAUUGUAGCGAUGGUAGUCGGUAGAGCAUGGCUAUCUUCCCAGACCUGUCCUCUGAAAAAAUGAACAUAAAAAAGGAAAGUGGCAAUAAGAUUGCUCCGAUGAGCAUUUUAUUUAUUCAGGUAAUCUAGUCGCACAUGUCUGCUUGUUUGUUUCUUUGUCUCUCUUCUCUUCGGCAGAUGAACAGAGGUGGACUUAAUAUUUUAUUUUUCUUUUUGAUUCGUUAUUUUCUUGAGAAAAUAUGUUUGAAUAGACUCAAUUGCUACGAUUACUGACAUAGAAUGGCUGUUGUGCAAGCCCCGUCUCUACUGUUCUGUAGUUACGAAUUAUGAUUUAAUGUCAUGUUUGAAAUUCAUUUCAACACUUCAUAUAUAUUAUAGGAAUGGACUCUUACAUGCAAGUGGUUGUAUGUAUUUGUAGGUGGCUGUUGACAAGUUCUCUAGACACUCUCGUGGCUUCAGAUUUGUCUCCUUUGAUGAAAAGAAUGCAAUGGAAGAGGCCAUUGAAGCCAUGAACGGGAUUGAUUUAGAUGGCCGAACUAUUACCGUUAACAAGGCAAGGGCAAACCAGGGUUCAGGUAGAGAUUAUGACAAUGAUCGCUCAUGCGAUCGUGAUCGAGGUCGUUGUCGUGAUCGUGAUCUUGAGUAUGGAAGCAGGCGAGGAUCUAGUGGUAAAGGGUGCUUUAAGUGUGGUAAACCUGGACACUUUGCUAGAGAAUGCCCUGAUGAAAGGGCUAAAAGCAGUAGGUAUGUGAACAGGGAUGAUAGAUAUGGUGGCAGAGGUGGUGGCAGUUAUGGCCUUGACUGUAAUGGAGAUUGAUUUGGAGGUCGUAACAAGGAUGCUGGUGGUUGUGGGCAAGGUGAUCGAUAUAAUCGUGAUCGCUUUGGGCCUUAUGAUCGUCAAGGAUCUAGGGAUUUCUGAUGUGGGUGGUUUCAUGUCUAACUAUAUGGUAUGCAACAAGGCACUGACAAAUUUUUUAUUCCAAUCUCAAGUAUAUUGUUUAACUGAUGGCUUUGCAUUCAUAUUUGUGACAGCUGAAACUUUGAAGUCCUAGAACUCCUGGAUGCAUGUAUUGUGUGGUUUUGCUCUUGUUGGCAUGUUGGCUAAAUGGGUCAUUGUUGAAAGUGUGAAACUAGGCACUAAUAGUUUACAUAUAUCGUGUCACUAAAAUGUUCUACUUUUUAGGUCCAUUGGGGGUCCUUUGCUAGCUUGAUGUGCGGAUUCGAAUCUGAUCUUUCACUUUUGAAUGCUAUCAUUCCAACUGGUAGUCUCCUUUCUUGCUUACAACACAAUUAACUGCUUCUAGAUUCUUAUAUUCUCGCAUUGGCCCUGUUCCUCUCAAGUGUAUGAGGAAUGAUGUUGAGAUCUUGGAUUUGGUGAUAGUAUGACGCACCCCCACCAUCUAGUGAGAUGAUGGAAUUGAAACAUAGAUUCUGCCUUAGAAGCCAGGCUCCUUGUAUUCUCCUCUGAACUCAGUUUAUAUUGACAAAACAGGAGUUGAUAUGGGUAACUGUUCAUUUUCUACAUUUGAUCGUUGCCUAAGACUUCCACUCAAUUCCUAGUUUUCACUUCUUGUAGAAUUAAUGACGUUAAAAUUUUGGCAGGCUACUUGGCUAAUAAUUACUGGAUACUUGAUGUUUGGCUUGCUUUUGCUAUUGGGCUACAUUUAAGCAUUAUUUAAUUGAAAAAGCUUUUUGAAUUGCGGAAAGCCCUGUUCAGGUCCAUUAUAGCUCUUGAACUGCUGAAAGCUUUGUUCAAGAUGUGAUUAAUAUUAAUUGUUUCACUUUGAUUUACAUUAAAAUUUUGCUGGAAUCUUUUGUUUUCAGGCCUAUUAUGAUUGCAGCAAGGGUGCAAAAAAAUCACAACCCUGCAACAAUAAAAACAUACAUUUAUCCGCAUUUGCCACAAGUCCUGUUUUGUUUGAAAAUAUUCUCCCGUUGACAUUAGAGCUCCAUAGUGUCUUAAAUCUUGAACACGCUAUAUUUGGUUGGUUUUGCAGGAGUUUGAAGUCAAAGGCAAACCAAGGAUAGGGCUUGGAGGAAAAAUGUAGUUAUCUUUUGUAGAUUGUAGUUUUUUUAAUUCUAGAACAACUUAAGUUUUGAGUUCAAAUCUUAUAUACAAAAUUCCGUAUAUUAGAUUAGACCCUUACAAAAGAAUAUUGUAUUCGACUGUUCUUUUUUUCUUUACCUUUUUUGGAGGCCUUGGCCAAGUUUUUUACGCCUCACCAAACUCAUUGGGAUGUUUGUAUUCUCAUUAUUUGGUAUUGAUUUUUCUAUUUAGAGAGUUUUGCAUUUUAUUGAAAUAUAUUGAUUUUUGUAUUCACAUUAUUUGGGCGAGGCCUCCAAUAGCAGUCGAAUACAAUUUUUUUUUAUAAAGGUCUAAUAUAUGAAAUUUUGUAGAUAAAAUUUGAACUCAAAUGCUUAAUUUGUUCUCGAAUUAACAAAAUCACAUUCUCGAAGAGAUCACUACCUUCUUCCUCAAAGCCCAAUCCUUGGAUUGCCUUUCACUUUACACGCCUACACAAUAUAGCGUGUUCAGAAUCAACAAAACUGCGUUCUACAAAAGAUCACUACUUUUGACCACCGGCUCCAAUCCUCGGUUUGCCUUUGACUUCAGACUCCUGCACAAUAUAGCGUGUUCAGGAUUUAAACCACAAUAGAUCUAAUGUCAAGCGGAGAACAUUUUCAAACAAAACAAGACCUGUGGCAAAUGCAGGUAUAUUGUUGUUGCAAGGUUGUGAUUUUCUGCAACCUUGCUCCAAUCAUAACAGACCUGAAAACAAAAGAUUUCAGCAAAAUUUUCAUAAAAAAGACAAAUUUAGGAGUUCAGAUAGCCAAGUAAUUCAUGUGAAAUAUUAGGUUAGCCAUAUGGAGAAAGAUUAAUGAAAUCUAUUUGUAGUGACAAAAAAUUCAGCAUCCAGAAAAAUUGUAAGAACUUCGUCAAGCUUGAUUGUAUUGGAAGUAAAAAGUAAUCACAGACGUAAUAUUGUCACAUCUUUCUAAACACACCAUUCUUCUCUAAGAAAUAGAAGUCCCUAGAAUGAUUAAAAAAAUGAUGAACAUCGGUUAACAAAUACUCACCGAAUAUGCGAAAAUGGAGCCAUCAUUAUUGAAAGCGCUGGAAGGUAUAGGUUGACCGCUAGAAGGUAUAGGCUAACCGCACCUUGCCAUAGCCUAAGAAACGAGCAUGCCAAGCAAUGCAAUUUAGAAUAAACAGAUAAUUGCAAGCAUUUUUAAGAUUUAAGAAGAAGGAUUCCAUAAUACCUUAAGCUUUUGUUUGCUCUGCGAUGAGGACAUAUCAAUUUUUAUUUCUGGCUAGACUUUAUUUUGUUUGUAGACUUUAAUUUUAUUUUGGAUUCUUAUUUAUGUAAUUGGACUUUCUUGCUGUUUUCUCAUUCUUCAUUUAAUAUUUCUAUCGAUGUUUUUAUCAUAAUAACAAAAAAAAUCUUGUAGUGUUGGUUUACGAAGCAAUCAAUGAGAAUAUCAAGGAGUAAAAAACCUCUAAACAUAAAACCCAAACUGGUAGACAAAUCUUCAGAAGUGCUAUUAGCCAAGUACUUAAAACUUGAUCUUUGAUAAUAAAAAAUAACUAUUUCACCCACAAAUUCUUGAUGUUAUCAUAGAUUAGCAAGCAUGCUCAAUACACAUAUGAAGAAAAGUAGAUUGCUUCUCCAAGUAACAAGAGGCAGUUAAGAGAUUCCACCUCAUUAUUUUUCUUCGCACUUGUUGAUAUGAUAUAAUGCUAAAAAUGCAAAGCAAAAUUAUGAUGCUUUUAGUUUAAGUAUAAACUUAACUAGGUGAUUUAUUUAGAUAGUGCUUCAAAAAAACCAAAUUUCCUCACGAAGAACUCUAGGUCAUUCCAUGACUCCUCCAAGUUUCUCUUCCCAUGUAACUAAGCUCUACAUCAAAUUUAAUGAGGAGCUGAAAAACAUUGAAUCGUUGUCUGCGGAGCAUUGUAAAACUUAGAUAUAUUCAAUGUAUGUUCACUGACAUAAACCCAAGAAGAUUGAAGAAAUAUCCAGAAUCAGGCAUGCUAGAAAGUUUUAAGAUGCGAACAAUUUCCCUCCCACCACAUCACAUACAAACACCCAAAAGAAUGAAAACGAAAGAAAGAGGAAGGAAAAACUAAAUGGGAGGAUGGGAGCAAAGAGGAAUGACAAUAUAGCAAGCUCCAUUGACAUCAUUUAAGAUGAAAUAAAAGCACCUUCUAACAUGAUGCAAAAUACAUAUACUACUAAUUUUAUCAAGUAGUAAGUGUUCAUGCUAUUAUAGAGAUCUCCUUUGAUACAAAGUCAGGUUGACGAUGAAGUACCAUUUAAACACCCAAUAAUACAAAUACAUAAUUAACUUCGGAAGGUCUAGAGAAUACAUACCAGGACUCAGACACUAGAAAAGAUGGUACGUCAAAUUAUACUUGUCCUUCUUGAUGAAGCAUUGAAUGGCUCCAUCACGAGGCCCCGACUACGAAGAAAAAUAAGCAUGAUUCCAUAUUUUCUUUCAAAGAACCAAUCAGCAAAUGCAUAUAAUUGUUAAACACAGGUAACUAUACAACAUUAAAAUACGCAAAAAUGUUAUUAUCUUGCACAAUACCAAAGCAGGACAAGUGGUGCAAAGUCACCUACUUUAAAGAAACUGGAAAAGUAAGUUUCCCACAGAUUUCUAGACCCGUGACAAUUUCCUUGCACAUGCUCCUCCAUGACCUGCAAACAGUUGGACAAGCUACCACAUGCUUCCUAGCAGGCCAUGUGCUCUCACUCUCUUCUAACCUUUUAAUCACAUCGUAAAGUAGCUCCGGUGGUAUAUUAGCCCAACGACUAUUCUGAAUUACCAAAGUUUGGUUAUUUAUAUCAUGAAAUGAACCAUGAGAUUUUCCCCUAUGAUGUCCAGGCAGCCUUACAUCAAAACUAUGCCGGGAUAAGCUACUAAAACUAUCUCGUUUAUCCCGAGCUAUGCAGUGGAAUGACAUCUAACAUCAAACUGGUAAACCGGAACCAAGAUGUCUAAAUUAAUAUCAGGCACUUCUCUGAACCUUGGUAGUAUUUCAAAAGUCAUUUCCCAAUAGAUGAAAUCCCCGUUUACAUCAAUUUUUGUCUGCAAAUGAGCAAAAGUAAAUAGUUUUCAGAGACAAAAAUGUAUAACCAAAAAGAAAAGAAAAAAGGGGUGCGUAAGGAAAGGCAUUUAUAGAUAGGAAAAAAAAAAAGAGAAGGGGAAAUUAGAAAAGGACAACUUCAUAUGGACAUUAAAGUAGAUUCAAUCACAUAACUUUUGUUGGACACAACUUAUCUUUAUGUUCUUAAAGUGAACUUAGUUUUCAUAUUUUCACUUGCCCCAAUCAAAGUCAACUUCGUGUAGAAUUAUAUCCAAACAUUAAUUAAAUUACUCCGGUCUCCAUGGAAAUAUAUCAAUCCAUGUAUUAAUAUAUAGACUCAAAGGAAUUCGUUAGCGGUUGGCCACAUAACGACAAUAUUGAUUUGCAAGUUUGGUGCUAAGGACCUAAAAAUAUAAAGCUAAAUCAUAGAGAUAAGGUAAUAAUCUUUGGAGCUUAAGAUGUGACUCUAAAACUUAUAUAUUGGACCGAAAAAGAAAUUCAAGAAAUAAAAAAAUAAAAAAUCAUUCUGAUAAAAAAAAAAAGAAAGAAAAAAGAAAAAGAAAAAGAAAAAAAACCUUCAAAUGGUAUCAACAAGAAAAGAAGUAGCUAACCUGCUAAAAGGGUUGUAAGAAAAUCCAAGCUUCAUAGCUUCUUCAGAGAUUUGCAAGAACCAUAUAAAUUAUAUAAUUUUUUUUUCUGAAUUAAAAGCCCCGACAUCCAAAAGGCACAAAUUUCACCAAACAUUACCUUUUCGACAAAUCAUCAAAAUUAACAAAAGACCACUCUUUAGCACUCUCAAAAUAAAACUAAACUGUCACAGAGAUAGAAAAAUAAAUAUAUAGAUAAAUGAGGAAGACCCAGAAAACCCAAACUCAAAUGAAUCCGCACGAUGUUCAACUCU